rnacentral:rRNA from 1 species
CAGCCGCCGCGGGAAUACGUAGGUGGCAAGCGUUGUUCGGAUUUACUGGGCGUAAAGCGCACGUAGGCGGAUCCUUAAGUCAGAGGUGAAAUCCCAAGGCUCAACCUUGGAACUGCCUUUGAUACUGGGGAUCUCGAGUCCGGGAGAGGUGAGUGGAACUGCGAGUGUAGAGGUGAAAUUCGUAGAUAUUCGCAAGAACACCAGUGGCGAAGGCGGCUCACUGGCCCGAUACUGACGCUGAGGUGCGAAAGCGUGGGGAGCAAACAGGAUUAGAUACCCCCGUAGUCCCUGUCUCUUAUAC